rnacentral:misc_RNA from 1 species
UCCGGUUUAACACCGGCGGUCUCUCUAGAGUGCCCAACUGAAUGAUGGCAACUAAAGAUAAGGGUUGCGCUCGUUAAGGGACUUAACCCGACAUCUCACGAUACGAGCUGACGACAGCCAUGCAGCACCUGUCUCUCUGUCCCCGAAGGGAAAGCCCUAUCUCUAGGGAUGUCAGAGGAUGUCAAAUCCAGGUAAGGUUCUUCGCGUUGCAUCGAAUUAAACCACAUGCUCCACCGCUUGUGCGGGCCCCCGCCUAUUCCUUUGAGUUUUAACCUUGCGGCCGUAGUCCCCAGGCGGUGAACUUAAUGCGUUAGCUGCGGCACUGAUCGGGUCAAUCCGACCAACACCUAGUUCACAACGUUUAGGGCGUGGACUAC